UACAGAGGGUGCGAGCGUUAAUCGGAAUUACUGGGCGUAAAGCGUGCGUAGACGGUUAUUUAAGUCGGAUGUGAAAGCCCCGGGCUCAACCUGGGAAUUGCAUUCGAGACUGAAUAGCUAGGGUACGGUAGAGGGAAGUGGAAUUUCCGGUGUAGCGGUGAAAUGCGUAGAUAUCGGAAGGAACAUCAGUGGCGAAAGCGACUUCCUGGACCGGUAUUGACGCUGAGGCGCGAAAGCUAGGGGAGCAAACGGG
rnacentral:rRNA from 1 species